rnacentral:rRNA from 1 species
GACGAACGCUGGCGGCGUGCUUAACACAUGCAAGUCGAACGAAGUGGCGAACGGGUGAGUAACGCGUAAUCAACCUGCCCUUCAGAGGGGGACAACAGUGGGAAACGACUGCUAAUACCGCAUACUGAAGGUGGGGAUUGCGUCGGAUUGGCCAGUUGGGGGGAUAACGGCCCACCAAGGCGAUGAUCAGUAGCCGGUCUGAGAGGAUGAACGGCCACAUUGGGACGGAGCCACGGCCCAGAAUCCUACGGGAGGCAGCAGUGGGGAAUCUUCCGCAAUGGACGAAAGUCUGACGGAGCAACGCCGCGUGAGGGAUGACGGCCUUCGGGUUGUAAAGCUCUGUUAAUCGGGACGCGGUACCGGAAUAGAAAGCCACGGCUAACUACGUGCCAGCCGCCGCGGUAAUAC